UAAAUUGUGAAGAAUUGAUUUACUUAUUUGAAGAACUACAAGUACACUCCUUCCCCUCUCUUAAAAGCAUUACAAUUAGAGAGUGUCAUAAAUUAAUUUGGCUUCCAAGUGGACUGAAAUCCUUCACUUCUCUGGAAUCACUGGUAAUAAGGUAUUGCCACGGCCUAACAUCUGUUCCCGAAUAUUUAGGAGAAUUGCAUUCUCUUCGUUUUUUAGAAAUAACAUACUGUGGAAGUUUAAGUUACUUUCCAGAGACAAUAUUAGGAGGCCUCACCCGAUUACGGGAAUUAAGAAUUGGUAAUUUCUCGGAGGAGUUGGAUUCUUUCCCUUAUCUGAAUUCAAUCCAAGAGCUCUCAUCCCUUGAAUCCUUAACCAUAUGUGGGGAUCGUGGAGGUAGAAUAAAGUCUCUGCCAGAUCAACUUCAAAGCCUCACUACCCUGAAGUCAUUAAAAAUAGUUGAUUUCAAUGGAAUGGAAGCUUUGCCAGAGUGGUUGGGCAACCUAUCAUCUCUAAAAUCCCUUGGCCUUUGGGAUUGUGACAAUUUGAAGUAUCUACCUACAGCUACGGCCAUGCGACUACUCUCCAAAUUAACGCGACUUCGUAUUUGUGGCUGUCCCUUUCUUAGGGAAAAUUGCGCCAAGGGGAGUGGCUCUGAGUGGUCCAAGAUUUCUCAUAUCCCAGACGUACAAAUAUCGCAUUAAUUACCAGUUUUGCUUUUCUUUGGGCGUGGACACUGCACUAGCUUUAUUUGGAAUACCCAGGUUCAUUAAGUAAGAAUGAUUUCUACCAACUUCCAUUUUUGUAACAUUUACAUCAACAGCAGCAUGGCAGAUGACAGGAAUGAUGCAGAUACAAAUGGAGAUUUUUAGUAAGAACGAGUUAACGGCACCAAGAAAGAGAAACGGCCAGCUUCAUUAACUUGUUUUCUAUGGAACAGAUAAAUAUUCACAAUUAAAGAAGACAAGCAAGCAUGUCUUCAUUUGGGGAAAACGCCUAAUUUUUCAGGGGUUCAAUCAUUUGCAAGUUCUUGGUGGACCUCAAGCACUUGAAGAACUAGUUGACUGCAAUAGAUUUGGCGGCUCCAGUUCCACAUGUUCUUAUGGUGAUUUUCUUCGCAAGGUAGCUUUGCAAUUUCAGGAAGCGAAAGUGUUGGAAGGUGGUCCUCCGCAUGAUACUUCAUGAGGUCAUUUAUGUAGCUGGAGGCCUUCAUUGUAAUUCCAUAAUGUAAAACCCUUUUCAACAAUUGUUUUGAAUAUUUUGAAUUUGAAAACCAGUGGUUCCUAAUGAGUAAUGGCCAAAGCAAUAUACAAUAAUAUAAUAACUCAAUUUAUUGCUGGAUAUUAGGAUUACUAAUGGGGAAAUUUUAAGCUUCUAGCUUGUGUGCAAGAUUAGGAUUAUUAAAGAAUAUAUGUUACUGUUUGUUAAAACUUACUAUUUUGAGCAAUUCUGAUAAUCUUACUAUUUGUUAGAGAUUGUAGGAUGCAAGAUAAAUUCAGAUACACAACUGCAAUGUUAUCUCUGGAAUUUUCUGCUUUCAUUUGAGCCGGCUGGGAAAGGCAAAAAAAUUGUUCAACUGAGUAGAAAUAAUGUCUUUGAUGCUGUCAACGUUAUCCCAAGUGGCAGACAAAGGGAUUAAGCUUGCCAAAUUUCGAGUUCAAGCAAUAAGAGAGAACUGAAAUAGAGAUAAGUUCACAUCACCAACUUGAGCUUUGAGCCUCCAGUUCUCCUGCCAUUGCCAACAUCCUUCAGCUAAAAUUGACUAGAGGACCAAGCAAUAUCACUUUUGGAAAUCAUUAGAAGAUUAGUGAGUUCAAGCUGUAAGACCAAACGUAAUUAAUUAUAACUCUUUCACUGAUGAUUGGCCAUUUUACAUAAUGCAUACCUAAUGAUCAUUGAUAAUUUCAUGCAUGAAUCUCCAAGUUUCUAACAAUGGAAUUCUCAUUUAAUCCUUUCUCUGAUGCAAAUCAGGCAAUUUAUUUUCUCACGCCAGUUUCCUAUCUUGUACUUUGCAAAUUGGAAUUUUUUUGAUAUAUGCUGACAUUUUAUUUUGAUUGGCUCAUGUUGCAGCAGCGGAAAGGCAAAGUGAAUGCAGAUAGUCUGUCAAACAGGGUUAGGACAUGGCUUGUUAUUGAUGAAGAUGUGAGUUUCUUGUCCUCCAAUUAUUUCCCUUCUCUGACAAUUUUUUCUUUAUUCAUUUCAACUUAUCUGCCUUGAGCA
rnacentral:misc_RNA from 1 species